UACGUAGGGUGCGAGCGUUAAUCGGAAUUACUGGGCGUAAAGCGUGCGCAGGCGGUUUCACAAGCUCGAUGUGAAAGCCCCGGGCUUAACCUGCGAAUGGCAUUGAGGACUGUGGAGCUCGAGUGCGGCAGAGGGAGGUGGAAUUCCACGUGUAGCAGUGAAAUGCGUAGAGAUGUGGAGGAACACCGAUGGCGAAGGCAGCCUCCUGGGCCGACACUGACGCUCAUGCACGAAAGCGUGGGGAGCAAACAGG
rnacentral:rRNA from 1 species